rnacentral:rRNA from 1 species
UAAAGAGUUCUAUAACUCCCAAACCCAUGUGAACAUACCUAACGUUGCCUCGGCAGGUCGCACCUACCUUGUAGCACCCUACCCUGUAGGGCCUACCCGGGAGGUGCAGGUAAGCCUGCCGGCGGCCCACCAAACUCUGUUUGAUAUUGAAUUCUGAACCUAUAACUAAAUAAGUUAAAACUUUCAACAACGGAUCUCUUGGUUCUGGCAUCGAUGAAGAACGCAGCGAAAUGCGAUAAGUAAUGUGAAUUGCAGAAUUCAGUGAAUCAUCGAAUCUUUGAACGCAUAUUGCGCCCAUUAGUAUUCUAGUGGGCAGGACCGUUCGAGCGUCAUUUCAACCCUUAAGCCUUCGUUGCUUAGUGUUGGGAGCCUACGGCAACGUAGCUCCUCAAAGUUAGUGGCGGAGUUGGUUCACACUCUAGACGUAGUAAUUUUUUAUCUCGCCUAUUAGUUGGACUAGUCCCCUGCCGUAAAACCCCCAAUUUAUCAAGGUUGACCUCGAAUCGGUUCAGACAAACUCGCUAAAUUGAAGCAUCUUAGUCAGCGAAGGAAAAGAAACCAACAGGGAUUGCCCUAGUAACGGCGAGUGAAGCGGCAACAGCUCAAAUUUGAAAUCUGGCCCUCGG